rnacentral:lncRNA from 1 species
UGUUUUUAUCUAAAAAAUAUAAAACUUGGAAUAAUAAUAAAUUUUAAAAUAUUUAAAAUUUCAAAAUGUAGAGUGGAUGGACGAUUGAAAUGAAUAGAGGAAGUUGAAUCCUAAAUAUUAAAGGGUUUUUAAUACAUAAUCGUUUCUUCAGCUGAAAAAUGGAGAUUGAGAUGCUAGAAUGUAACAUAUAUAUUGAGAUAAUACAUAGAACAUUAUAGAAUGAGUGAGGUUAAGAGGCCGAAUUUCACAUGGGAUCUUUUGGCGGGACUAUUCUUAACAGGUUGGCCAUCGCACAUGUUGGGAUCAACUGGAAGAUUGAAAGAUUGGAUUUUCAAUAGUAGAAUGAGCGAAAUGACACUGAACAUUUAUAGACUGUUAUAUUUAUCACAGCUUAUUAGUGUUCUAUGUAUCUUCUCUAUUAGUAUUCGAGUGUUUCUAUACACUAGUAGUGAACAUAACAAGCCACUAGUGUUAUCUGAAUCUUCAUUAUUUGGCUGAAGAAAGAGUUGAAUCUUAAAAACUAU